AUGCGCAUGGAGGUUUCUUUCAAGGCAAAGCCUAUACUCAGCAUUCCGCAAUGUAUACCCAGUCAUCAUUGAGGAGACCAAUAACUUGGAGAGGGGUUCCCACAAAGACUCAAUGAAAACUUUAAAGCGAUCAGAUGGAAGUAAGCCCAACAUUCCAGAGAUAGUCCUCUUCAUAGCAUCCAAUGUAGUAGGUGGAACAUCUCUCUGAAUAAGACUCACAUCCAAUGGUUCUAUUUCUUGUAUCAAAUCUGAGAGAACUGAUUUCUUAUCAGUAGAACCCGACUUGCGAUCAAAAACGAAAUCAUCGAAAGAGGAGGCGGAAUUAGAGGAAGCAAGAAUUAGGGUUCGGAUUUUUCUAGAGUUUGAGUUGAGAGUAGAAGUCAGAGGAGAAAGAGGGAAGGAAAGAGAGGAAGAAGGGGAAUUGUGGGGGUUGGAAAAGGAGAGGAACAGAGGAGGAGGAAGAGAAGAGGAGAGAAAGGAGGCAAAGGUUGCCAUAAAAAACAACCUUAGUUUGCAGUCUCUUU
rnacentral:misc_RNA from 1 species